rnacentral:rRNA from 1 species
AACGCUGGCGGCAUGCCUUACACAUGCAAGUCGAACGGCAGCACGGGUGCUUGCACCUGGUGGCGAGUGGCGGACGGGUGAGUAAUACAUCGGAACGUAUCCAGAAGAGGGGGAUAACGCAUCGAAAGAUGUGCUAAUACCGCAUAUUCUCUGAGGAGGAAAGCAGGGGAUCGAAAGACCUUGCGCUUUGGGAGCGGCCGAUGUCUGAUUAGCUAGUUGGUGGGGUAAAGGCCUACCAAGGCGACGAUCAGUAGUUGGUCUGAGAGGACGACCAGCCACACUGGGACUGAGACACGGCCCAGACUCCUACGGGAGGCAGCAGUGGGGAAUUUUGGACAAUGGGCGCAAGCCUGAUCCAGCAAUGCCGCGUGAGUGAAGAAGGCCUUCGGGUUGUAAAGCUCUUUCAGUCGAGAAGAAAAAGCUGCAGUGAAUAACUGUAGUUCAUGACGGUAUCGACAGAAGAAGCACCGGCUAACUACGUG